AAAAAGAUGAUCAAAUCUACUUGACCGACAAGUAGCUCGACACGGUAAGCGUUUGUUAAGAUUUAGAGAUUGUUUUCGACGCGCUUAGAUGAGUUCAGCUCCCGGGGGGCCACUUCGAGAGCACGCAACUCGGGGAGGGUGCGCAGGAUGACGGUCUCGGCGUGUUUGUUGACCGCCGGUAGGCUUUCUUAUCACUACAGUUAACUUCCGUCUCU
ensembl:ncRNA F26A10.16 ncRNA